AUGUUACUACUGCAAAGGCUUCUGGGUGGGCAUAUGCAAAUUAGUCCAACAAGGAAUCACAUUUUUGCCUCAUUCCAUUUUAAACAUGGAUUCUCUGUGUUUGCUAUAUACAACAGCUUUGAAACAGAGCUUAGGAAAAGAUGCAAAGCCAGUGAACCACUCAUGAGCUCCGACAUCACGGAGGAGAGGUGAUUAUUGUGGGAAAAUUUAUUUGACCACAGGAAAUGGAGCUGACUUAAGCUCCUCCUUUGGUGAAAGAAGGUUAAGCGUAGUUCCUACUUUGUCUUAUGUUUUAAAGAAAACUAGAUCAGAUAGGAAGAAAAGAUUUUGAGAGAGGAAGACAAGUUUGGCAUGACAGUGCCGCAUUAAAUGGAGCAGAUAUUUAUGUAAGAUUAAAUUUGGAUAUAUUUUAUAACCUGUUACUUCUGUUUCUUAUUUAUACUGCUCCAUUUGGAAGACUGGAGAAGUCACUUUUGAUGGUCAGCAGGUUAUACACAAAAUCUGUAUACUUGAAAACAGCACUAAGCCACUGGAUUAAAAGCACAUUUAGCACAUGGUAGAAUGUGUGUACAUCACAGAGAGCACUACUCUAUAGAUAUCUUCAAGAUAAACCAAUUAAGACAAAUCCCAAUAGGAUUAAACCUAAUAAGCCUAGAAAACAAAUUAAUCUUUACUAAUGAUGAAUCCCUUAUAUAGGAAGACACCGAAGGAUUGUUUUAGAUAUAAAUAAUGAGAAAUAACUACUGGAUAAUGGAAAGAGCAUUUGAGAGAUGGAGUUUAAUAUUUAGCUCCAGUAGCUAAUAUAGGUUCUUUUACAUGAUUACCCAGAAGCUUAUAAUCAGUGUAAUCAGUAUAGUAUGUUAGUAUGGGCAAUAUUUAGUAAAACCUCUGGCAUGUUGGUGUUACUCUAAAUUGCAAUUUAUUGUUAAUAUUUUGUAGAAACAAAACUACUUGAAUUCAGACAUGUCUGCUCACUCUAUACAUUAUUGUAACAUGCCCACCAUUCACUGAUAAUUUCUAUUAUUUUCAGAGAAACUACUUGGUUUUCAGACAGGCUUAGUUAUUUUUGCGUUAUAAUAAAGUUAUUCUUAUUUGAGACAAUCCUUUGAUGUCUCCUUAGAUAAGGAUUUCACCAUCACCAUCUUACUAUUCUACAGAAGUUUUUUUUUUAUAUGAC